GUCACCUCGUUUUGGGCUUCCACUGCUGACUUUCUGUCAGUAGACUUUACCUGCUCUUCUUCCUUAAUUUCACUUAAAUCUGUGUUCUGAUACGUUAACUCUUUUUUAACAUCUUUAAGGGUUUCUACGGGUACUGGGGAUUUUUUCUUCUUGUUUUUCUUUUUCUUGUUCUUUGUCUUCUUCUGCGAUGAGUCCAAUGCCUCUCCCUGUUGGUCACUCUUUUCUUCAUCGGGCUCUUUCAUAUCUAAGGGUUCAUUUUGAGUGUCUACUGUACUUGGACCUGUCGCUUCCUGACAGUUGCCCUCAGUUCCUGCUGGAGAACCAGGAACUUCUGUCUUGAUUGGUUUCUCGUCCCUUAAUCCUGUUUCUU
rnacentral:lncRNA from 1 species